rnacentral:rRNA from 1 species
GUCCUUUUGUAUUUUAUUUAAGGUCUAGCCUGCCCACUGAUAUAUUAAAUGGCCGCGGUAUUUUGACCGUGCAAAGGUAGCAUAAUCAUUAGUUUUUUAAUUGAAAGCUGGCAUGAAAGGUUGAAUGAGAAAAUAGCUGUCUCUAUUUAAUUAUUAUAAUUUUAUUUUUAAGUUAAAAAGCUUAAGUGAUUUUAAAAGACGAGAAGACCCUAUAGAGUUUAAUAUUAAGUAUUGAAAAAGUUUUUAGAAGUAAUAUAUUUUUUUAAUACAAAAUAUUUGAUUGGGGUGAUUGAAAAAUUUAAUGAACUUUUUAUUUAAUAUAGCAUUAAUUUAUGUUUUUUUGAUCCAAAAUUUUUGAUUAUAAGAUUAAAUUACCUUAGGGAUAACAGCGUAAUUUUUUUUGAGAGUUCAUAUCGAAAAAAAGGAUUGCGACCUCGAUGUUGGAUUAAAAUUAAUUUUUGGUGUAGAAGCUUUAAAUUUUAGUCUGUUCGACUAUUAAAAUUUUACA